rnacentral:tRNA from 1 species
CGGCGAACAAGCCUGCGGGAUGAAAAUCCGCGUGUCGCUGGUUCGAUUCCGGCCCUGACCACCA